UACGUAGGGGGCAAGCGUUGUCCGGAUUUAUUGGGCGUAAAGAGCGUGUAGGCGGCCAGACAAGUCUGCUGUGAAAACUCGAGGCUCAACCUCGAGCUGUCGGUGGAAACUGUCUGGCUAGAGUCCGGAAGAGGAGAGUGGAAUUCCUGGUGUAGCGGUGAAAUGCGCAGAUAUCAGGAAGAACACCUAUGGCGAAGACAGCUCUCUGGGACGGUACUGACGCUGAGACGCGAAAGCGUGGGGAGCGAACAGG
rnacentral:rRNA from 1 species